UCCAGACUCCUACGGGAGGCAGCAGUGGGGGAUAUUGCACAAUGGGGGGAACCCUGAUGCAGCGACGCCGCGUGGGUGAAGGAGCGUUUCGGCGCGUAAAGCCCUAUCGGCAGGGAAGAAGGAGGACGGUACCUGACUAAGAAGCCCCGGCUAACUACGUGCCAGCAGCCGCGGUAAUACGUAGGGGGCAAGCGUUAUCCGGAUUUACUGGGUGUAAAGGGGGCGCAGACGGCAGCGCAAGCCAGGAGUGAAAGCCCGGGGCCCAACCCCGGGACUGCUCUUGGAACUGCGCGGCUGGAGUGCAGGAGGGGCAGGCGGAAUUCCUGGUGUAGCGGUGAAAUGCGUAGAUAUCAGGAGGAACACCGGUGGCGAAGGCGGCCUGCUGGACUGCGACUGACGUUGAGGCCCGAAAGCGUGGGGAGCAAACAGGAUUAGAUACCCCAGUAUCC
rnacentral:rRNA from 1 species